rnacentral:lncRNA from 1 species
UCAACAAGUCACAUAACACUUGAUCCUGACACCAGUAUCAUUUACUUAUGUGGAAAGGGAGACAGCAGUAUUCGCUACUUUUGAGAUCACAGAUGAAUCCCCGUAUGUCCACUACUUCAACACAUUCAGCGGCAAGGAGCCUCAGAGAGGCAUGGGUUACAUGCCCAAGAGAGGACUUGACGUUAACAAAUGUGAAAUUGCCAGAUUCUUCAAGCUGCAUGAGAGAAAGUGUGAGCCCAUUAUCAUGACUGUUCCCAGGAAGUCUGACCUUUUCCAAGAUGACCUGUACCCAGACACGGCAGGCCCCGAGGCUGCGCUGGAGGCAGAAGAGUGGUUUGAAGGGAAGAACGCUGACCCAAUCCUCAUCUCCUUGAAGCACGGCUACAUUCCAGGCAAAAACAGGGAUCUCAAAGUGGUCAAGAAGAACAUUCUGGACAGCAAGCCCACUGCAAACAAGUGUGACCUGAUCAACGUCCCCAAGAAAACCACAGACACGACUAGUGUGCAAAAUGAAGCCAAGUUGGAUGAAAUUUUAAAAGAGAUCAAAUCUAUAAAAGACACAAUCUGCAAUCAAGAUGAGCGUAUUUCCAAGUUAGAACAGCAGAUGGCGAAGAUAGCA